rnacentral:rRNA from 1 species
AAUAUUUCACAAUGGAGGAAACUCUGAUGCAGCGACACCGCGUGAGCGAUGAAGGCUUUCGAGUCGUGAAGCCCUGUCCUAGGGGACGAUAAUGACGGUACCCUAGGAGGAAGCCCCGGCUAACUACGUGCCAGCAGCCGCGGUAAUACGUAGGGGGCGAGCGUUGUUCGGAAUUAUUGGGCGUAAAUGGUGCGCAGGCGGCCUUUUAAGUCAGAUGUGAAAGACCACGGCUUAACCGUGGUAAGCAUUUGAAACUGGAAGGCUUGAGUUAAGGAGAGGAAAGUGGAAUUCCUAGUGUAGCGGUGAAAUGCGUAGAUAUUAGGAGGAAUACCAGUGGCGGAGGCGACUUUCUGGACUUAUACUGACGCUGAGGAACGAAAGAGUGGGGAGCAAACA